rnacentral:rRNA from 1 species
CGAGGACGAACGCUGGCGGCGUGCUUAACACAUGCAAGUCGAACGGGGCGAAGUGAUAGCUUGCUAUUAUGGAGCCUAGUGGCAAACGGGUGAGUAACGCGUAGGCAACCUGCCCUUCAGAUGGGGACAACACCUCGAAAGGGGUGCUAAUACCGAAUGACGUUUCCUGGUCGCAUGACCUGGAAACCAAAGGCCGGGCAACCGGUCACUGAAGGAUGGGCCUGCGUCUGAUUAGCUAGUUGGUGAGGUAACGGCCCACCAAGGCGACGAUCAGUAGCCGACCUGAGAGGGUGACCGGCCACAUUGGGACUGAGACACGGCCCAAACUCCUACGGGAGGCAGCAGUGGGGAAUAUUGCACAAUGGGGGAAACCCUGAUGCAGCGACGCCGCGUGAGUGAAGAAGUAUUUCGGUAUGUAAAGCUCUAUCAGCAGGGAAGAAAAUGACGGUACCUGACUAAGAAGCUCCGGCUAAAUACGUG